UACGUAGGGUGCGAGCGUUGUCCGGAAUUAUUGGGCGUAAAGGGCUCGUAGGCGGUUUGUCGCGUCGGGAGUGAAAGUCCAGGGCUCAACCCUGGGAUGUCAGUGGAUACUGGAAGGCUCGAGUCCGGAAGAGGCAAGUGGAAUUCCUGGUGUAGCGGUGAAAUGCGUAGAGAUCGUAAGGAAGGCCAGUGGCGAAGGCGGCGAUCUGGGUCGAUACUGACGCUGAGGUGCGAAAGCGUGGGGAGCAAACAGG
rnacentral:rRNA from 1 species